AGCUCAGUGUUAGAGCGUGUGCUUAGCAUGCACAAGGUCCUGGGUUCAGUCCCCAG
rnacentral:tRNA from 1 species